UGUUGUGUGUGUGUGUGUGUGUGUGUAUGUAUGUAUUAUGAAACCAACUUCAAAAAUGAACACAUAUCCAACAACCCCUUCAUAAAAUUAAGCAAAUCAAAACCAAAUACCAACAGAACGGAACAACCACCAAGAAAUCCUACCACACUCU